rnacentral:rRNA from 1 species
AGCGAAGGCUGGCGGCGUGCCUAAGACAUGCUAGUCGAACGUGAAAGGGAGCAAUCCCAAGUAAAGUGGCGUACGGGUGAGUAACGCGUAGAUGAUCUACCCCAGAGUCUGGAAUAACCUGCCGAAAGGCGGGCUAAUACUGGAUAGAGCGAUGGAAUCCGUAAUUGGGUUUUUCGGGAAAGGGAGGAAGCAAUUCCCUUCGCUUUGGGAUGAGUCUGCGUCUCAUUAGCUAGUUGGUGGGGUAACGGCCUACCAAGGCAUUGAUGGGUAGCUGGUCUGAGAGGAUGAUCAGCCACACUGGAACUGAAACACGGUCCAGACUCCUACGGGAGGCAGCAGUGGGGAAUCUCGCGCAAUGGACGAAAGUCUGACGCAGCCACGCCGCGUGAGUGAAGAAGGCCUUCGGGUUGUAAAGCUCUGUCGAGUGGGACGAAAAUUCUAGGAGUGAAUAGCUCUUAGAACUGACGGUACCGCUAAAGGAAGCACCGGCUAACUCCGUGCCAGCAGCCGCGG